rnacentral:lncRNA from 1 species
AUGGGAUGGGAAUGGGAUGGGAAUGGGAUUGGGAUUGGGAUUGGGGUAUGGGAUGGGAAUGGGAUUGGCAAUGGGAUUGGGACUGGGAUUGUGAAUGGGAUUGGGAAUGGGAUUGGGAUUGUGAAUGGGAAUGAGAUUGGGAUUGUGAAUGGGAUUGGGAAUAGGAUUGGGGUAUGGGAUGGGAAUGGGAUUAGGAAUGGGAUUGGGGUGUGGGAUGGGAUUGGGAUUGGGAUUAGGAAUGGGACUGGGAUUGGGACUGGGAUUGUGAAUGGGAUUGGGAUUGGGAAUGGGAUUGGGAUUGGGAAUGGGAAUGGGAUUGGGAAUGGGACUGGGAACUGGAAUGGGAUUGGGAAUGGGAUUGGGGUAUGGGAUGGGAAUGGGAUUGGGAUUAGGAAUGGGAUUGGGAUUGGGAAUGGGAUUGGGAAUGGGAUUGGAAAUGGGACUGGGAACGGGAAUGGGAUAUGGAAUGGGAUUGGGAUUGGGAUUGGGAAUGGGAUUGGGAAUGGGAUUGGGAUUGUGAAUGGGAAUGGGAUUGGGAACGGGAAUGGGAUUGGGAAUGGGAUUGGGAAUGGGAUUGGGAAUGGGAUUGGGAUUGGCAAUGGGAUUGGGAAUGGGGUAUGGGAUGGGAAUGGGAUUGGGAAUGGGAUUGGGAACGGGAAUGAGAUUGGGAAUGGGACUGGGGAUGGGAUUGGGAAUGGGAUUGGGACUGGGAAUGGGAUUGGGACAGGGAUUGGGAAUGGGAUUGGGAAUGGGAAUGAGAUUGGGAAAGGGACUGGGAUUUGGAACGGGAUUGGGACAGGGAUUGGGAUUAGGACUGGGAUUGGGAAUGGGAUUCGGAAUGGGAUUGGGACUGGGAAUGGGACUGUUAUUGGGAUUGGGAUUGGGACUGUGAUUCGGAUUCGGAUUGGGAAUGGGAUUGGGACUGGAAUUGGGAUUGGGAUUGUGACUGGGAAUGGGACUGGGAUUAGGAUUGGGAUUGGGACUGGGAUUGGGACAGGGAUUGGGAUUGGGAUUGGGAAUGGGAUUGUGAAUGGGAUUGGGAACGGGACAGGGAUUGGGAAUGGGAAUGGGAUUGGGAUUGGGACUGGGAUUGGCAUUGGGAAUGGGAUUGUGAUUGGGAAUGGGAAUGGGACUGGGAUUAGGAUUGUGAUUGGGACUGGGAUUGGGACUGGGGAUUGGGAUUGGGAUUGGGAAUGGGAUUGGGAAUGGGAUUGGGAACGGGACAGGGAUUGGGAAUGGGAUUGGCAUUGGGAAUGGGAUUGUGAUUGGGAAUGGGAAUGGGACUGGGAUUAG